rnacentral:rRNA from 1 species
ACGCUCGACACCUACUGGAGGCAGCAGUGGGGAAUAUUGCACAAUGGGGGAAACCCUGAUGCAGCGACGCCGCGUGAGUGAAGAAGUAUUUCGGUAUGUAAAGCUCUAUCAGCAGGGAAGAAGAUGACGGUACCUGAGUAAGAAGCCCCGGCUAACUACGUGUCAGCAGCCGCGGUAAUCUGAGCGGGCUGGCAAGGC